AUCUAGUGUAGGCCUGUGUCCUGUUAAAACAUCUAGUGUAGGCCUGUGUCCUGUUAAAACAUCUAGUGUAGGUCUGUUUCCUGUUAAAACAUCUGGUGUAGGCCUGUUUCCUGUUAAAACAUCUAGUGUAGGUCUGUUUCCUGUUAAAACAUCUAGUGUAGGCCUGUUUCCUGUUAAAACAUCUAGUGUAGGCCUGUUUCCUGUUAAAACAUCUAGUAUAGGCCUGUUUCCUGUUAAAACAUCUGGUGUAGGCCUGUUCCCUCAGUUAUAUCAAAUGGAUUUUGCACUAACCCACUUUCCUUCACUGUUGGAAGCUGAAAUAUUAA